UUCCAUAGCUGAUGAAAAUAGUUAAUCUGAAACCCAAAUUGUGUCCUGACAAACACCUCUACCUUUCUGCCUCUUCUUGAACACUGCUGCUGGACCACAGAAGAAAUAUGUCGCGGACAUCCAGGAGCCUGGCAGUGUGAUGAUGGGAAAUGUAUUUCUCUGAGCUGGCUUUGUGAUGGUGUUGGUGACUGCUUAGAUGGCUCCGAUGAGGUUAAUUGUGAGAUAUUGACAGCAUGUCCAGACCAAAAAAUCCAGUGUCCAGGAAAUUCUCAGUGCCGUGAUGCUUGGGAACUCUGUGAUGGCCAUAUGGACUGUGAAGAUGGGUUUGAUGAAGCACACUGCCCCUGGCUCCAUUGCCUGGCUGGGCAGUGGCAGUGCAAGAACAAGGUGUGUGUCAUGGAGAGCUGGAAAUGCAACGGCAUCAAUGACUGCGGUGACUCCUCGGAUGAGGAAGUCUGUGCCUCCUGUCCAGAAGGCAUGGUUAGAUGUGAUAAAUGGAAAUGCAUCCUAGAAUCCUUGAUGUGUGAUGGAGAAGCAGACUG